UCAGUGGUCACACAUAGGUACAAAGUAUGUACAUAGUUUUUCAGGUAUAAUAUUUUCUUUUUGAAGCAAAAUUGUUAAACUUCGGUUUCUUUCCGACAAGUUUCUCCCUAUUCUUUAAUCAUUCGAUGCCAAACAACUGCAAGACAUACUCAGACUAUGUAUUAAUGGAUGGCUAUCAUAAUGCACCCCACUUCCAUUUAUUAAAAUUUGCAAUUGAAAAUCAACCUAGAGGUUCCUUUGCUUGAUAGAGAAGACUCCAGUGAAACUUGAAGGCAUGGAAGUUUACUUUAUCUUCCUUCUUUAAUCUCUUUUCACUCUGCAUCUUCCUUGUUCAUGGUCUAUGUGCUGGCCAUUUGGUAGUUUUCUGUGUGGUGGACCUCCACUAGUUUGCCC